rnacentral:rRNA from 1 species
ACGUAGGGGGCAAGCGUUGUCCGGAUUUAUUGGGCGUAAAGAGCGUGUGGGCGGCCUGUCAAGUCCGAUGUGAAAUCUUGCGGCUUAACCGCAAGCCUGCAUUGGAAACUGUCAGGCUAGAGUCUGGAUGAGGAAGAUGGAAUUCCUGGUGUAGCGGUGAAAUGCGCAGAUAUCAGGAGGAACACCGGUGGCGAAGGCGGUCUUCUAGGACAGUACUGACGCUGAGACGCGGAAGCGUGGGGAGCAAACAGGAUUAGAUACCCUGGUAGUCCACGCUGUAAACGAUGGACACUAGGUGUUGGGGGUGUUGACUCCCUCAGUGCCGUAGCUAACGCAUUAAGUGUCCCGCCUGGGGAGUACGGCCGCAAGGCUA